GGGUUGUGCCUCAAGCCUCGUAUUUAACCUAAUUGGCUUGGACUAAGUGACUUCUCGCUUAGGCAUUAUUGGGCUCGCCUGGGCGAGUUGCACAAAAAAAGGCCCAACGUCAUUGGUGUAAUCUCGCCUGGGGGAGAUCCUUUGGGGCGUCUAGCUUAAGCGAGUUUGGGCGAGCUUUGGUGAGUGUUGGUGUGUUCCUACUUUCCAUUUUUAGCUUUGUAUAUUAUUCUUUUGCCCAAUCAUCUCCAUUCUUCCAUAGAAUCUUGAAAUUAACACAAAUUUG
rnacentral:lncRNA from 1 species